GAUUGAACGCUGGCGGCAGGCCUAACACAUGCAAGUCGAACGGUAACAGGAAGCAGCUUGCUGCUUCGCUGACGAGUGGCGGACGGGUGAGUAAUGUCUGGGAAACUGCCUGAUGGAGGGGGAUAACUACUGGAAACGGUGGCUAAUACCGCAUAACGUCGCAAGACCAAAGAGGGGGACCUUCGGGCCUCUUGCCAUCAGAUGUGCCCAGAUGGGAUUAGCUGGUAGGUGGGGUAACGGCUCACCUAGGCGACGAUCCCUAGCUGGUCUGAGAGGAUGACCAGCCACACUGGAACUGAGACACGGUCCAGACUCCUACGGGAGGCAGCAGUGGGGAAUAUUGCACAAUGGGCGCAAGCCUGAUGCAGCCAUGCCGCGUGUAUGAAGAAGGCCUUCGGGUUGUAAAGUACUUUCAGCGGGGAGGAAGGUGUUGUGGUUAAUAACCGCAGCAAUUGACGUUACCCGCAGAAGAAGCACCGGCUAACUCCG
rnacentral:rRNA from 1 species